UUGACCUCGGAUCAGGUAGGGAUACCCGCUGAACUUAAGCAUAUCAAUAAGCGGAGGAAAAGAAACCAACAGGGAUUACCUCAGUAACGGCGAGUGAAGCGGUAACAGCUCAAAUUUGAAAUCUGGGUCUUUCAGGCUCCGAGUUGUAAUUUGUAGAAGAUGCUUCGGGUGCGGCUCCGGUCUAAGUUCCUUGGAACAGGACGUCAUAGAGGGUGAGAAUCCCGUAUGUGAUCGGUUGCUUGCGCCCAUGUGAAGCUCUUUCGACGAGUCGAGUUGUUUGGGAAUGCAGCUCAAAAUGGGUGGUAAAUUUCAUCUAAAGCUAAAUAUUGGCCAGAGACCGAUAGCGCACAAGUAGAGUGAUCGAAAGAUGAAAAGCACUUUGGAAAGAGAGUUAAACAGUACGUGAAAUUGUUGAAAGGGAAGCGCUUGCAACCAGACUUGCGCGUUGCCGAUCAUCUGGGGUUCUCCCCAGUGCACUCGGCCUCGCUCAGGCCAGCAUCGGUUUCGGUGGUGGGAUAAAGGCCUUGGGAAUGUAGCUCCUCUCGGGGAGUGUUAUAGCCCUCGGUGCAAUGCCGCCUACCGGGACCGAGGACCGCGCUUCGGCUAGGAUGCUGGCGUAAUGGUUGUAAGCGACCCGUCUUGAAACACGGACCAAGGAGUCUAACAUCUAUGCGAGUGUUUGGGUGUCAAACCCAUACGCGUAAUGAAAGUGAACGGAGGUGAGAACCCUUAAGGGUGCAUCAUCGACCGAUCCUGAUGUCUUCGGAUGGAUUUGAGUAAGAGCAUAGCUGUUGGGACCCGAAAGAUGGUGAACUAUGCCUGAAUAGGGUGAAGCCAGAGGAAACUCUGGUGGAGGCUCGCAGCGGUUCUGACGUGCAAAUCGAUCGUCAAAUUUGGGUAUAGGGGCGAAAGACUAAUCGAACCAUCUAGUAGCUGGUUCCUGCCGAA
rnacentral:rRNA from 1 species